rnacentral:sRNA from 1 species
UGUUCCCCAACUUGCU